CAGUGCUUACAGAAGGUUCUCAGAAUGAAUGGGGAAAUGGUUGCCAUGGCUUCCUCAGCCUCCAGAGAGAUGGCUUUGGAGACAGAUGGUGGAGGAAGGUAACGAAAGAGGACGGUAGUGGGUCACCUGAGGUUGGUACGGCAGGAGAGGAAUACUAUAAGGCAAGCUGACCCAGCCUCAAAGAGUAAUGCAAAAGCAAAGGCCUCGCAUCACAGGUUGGGGGCCACCUCGUCUCACUGAUGAUCCUGUUUUUGAAGAGCUAAGUCCUACUUUGAUGCCAGUCUCAUCUAACUGCCCAAAGGAUGACCUUACCCAUCUGGCCAGUCCUAUUUCGAUGAAUACUUUCACCUAAUAGAUGGGUUUCUCAGCCAACAGAUAUUUUCCCGAUGGUCCCCUCACCUGGUGGAUUGCCUCAUACAGUAGACAUUGUCAAUCACCUCACUGAAAACACAGCCACGCUAAAUAAACAGCUUUGAUCAUAAA